rnacentral:rRNA from 1 species
AUUGAACGCUGGCGGCAGGCUUAACACAUGCAAGUCGAGCGGGGUGAUGGUGCUUGCACUAUCACUUAGCGGCGGACGGGUGAGUAAUGCUUAGGAAUCUGCCUAUUAGUGGGGGACAACAUCUCGAAAGGGAUGCUAAUACCGCAUACGUCCUACGGGAGAAAGCAGGGGAUCACUUGUGACCUUGCGCUAAUAGAUGAGCCUAAGUCGGAUUAGCUAGUUGGUGGGGUAAAGGCCUACCAAGGCGACGAUCUGUAGCGGGUCUGAGAGGAUGAUCCGCCACAAUGGGACUGGGAAACGGCCCAGACUCCUACGGGAGGCAGCAGUGGGGAAUAUUGGACAAUGGGGGGAACCCUGAUCCAGCCAUGCCGCGUGUGUGAAGAAGGCCUUAUGGUUGUAAAGCACUUUAAGCGAGGAGGAGGCUCUUUUGGUUAAUACCCAAGAUGAGUGGACGUUACUCGCAGAAUAAGCACCGGCUAACUCUGUGCCAGCCGCCGCAGUAA